AACAUCGCGCACCUGCGGGAACCUGCGGAAGGAUCAUUAAUGAUUGGUGGCUGUUGCUGACUAGUGUUUCUAGUAUGUGCACGCCACACCUUCAAUCCCACUUACACCUGUGCACCUUCUGCAAUAGAUCUAUGUGGAUACGGAGAUAUGAAAGUUUGCGCUCUCGUACUCUGUUGAAGCAGUCUACUACGUUUUUUUACACACACACAAUAGUCAUUGAAUGUAUUUUUUAUUCUUAUG
rnacentral:misc_RNA from 1 species